AAGACUGAGAAGAGUGA
rnacentral:miRNA from 1 species